rnacentral:rRNA from 1 species
AUUGAACGCUGGCGGCAUGCCUUACACAUGCAAGUCGAACGGCAGCGGACCUUCGGGUGCCGGCGAGUGGCGAACGGGUGAGUAAUAUAUCGGAACGUACCUUUCAGUGGGGGAUAACGUAGCGAAAGUUACGCUAAUACCGCAUAUUCUGUGAGCAGGAAAGCAGGGGAUCGCAAGACCUUGCGCUGAUUGAGCGGCCGAUAUCAGAUUAGCUAGUUGGUGAGGUAAAGGCUCACCAAGGCGACGAUCUGUAGCGGGUCUGAGAGGAUGAUCCGCCACACUGGAACUGAGACACGGUCCAGACUCCUACGGGAGGCAGCAGUGGGGAAUUUUGGACAAUGGGCGCAAGCCUGAUCCAGCCAUGCCGCGUGAGUGAUGAAGGCCUUAGGGUUGUAAAGCUCUUUUAGAUGUGACGAUGAUGACGGUAGCAUCAGAAAAAGCUCCGGCUAACUUCGUGCCAGCAGCCGU